CGGACGGGUGAGUAACGCGUGGGUAACCUACCCUGUACACACGGAUAACAUACCGAAAGGUAUGCUAAUACGGGAUAAUAUAUUUGAGAGGCAUCUCUUGAAUAUCAAAGGUGAGCCAGUACAGGAUGGACCCGCGUCUGAUUAGCUAGUUGGUAAGGUAACAGCUUACCAAGGCGACGAUCAGUAGCCGACCUGAGAGGGUGAUCGGCCACAUUGGAACUGAGACACGGUCCAA
rnacentral:rRNA from 1 species